rnacentral:rRNA from 1 species
UGCCUACGGGAGGCAGCAGUGAGGAAUAUUGGUCAAUGGCCGAGAGGCUGAACCAGCCAAGUCGCGUGAGGGAUGACGGCCCUACGGGUUGUAAACCUCUUUUGUCAGGGAGCAAGACCCGCCUCGUGCAGGCGGAGCGAGAGUACCCGAAGAAAAAGCAUCGGCUAACUCCGUGCCAGCAGGCGCGGUAAUACGGAGGAUGCGAGCGUUAUCCGGAUUUAUUGGGUUUAAAGGGUGCGUAGGCGGUCUGUUAAGUCAGCGGUAAAAUUGCGGGGCCCAACCCCGUCGAGCCG